rnacentral:lncRNA from 7 species
AAUAUCCUCAAGUUUCCUGUCUUGUGUGACCACAGAUGGGAGAACCAGGCAGCAGCAGGAAUGAGCUUUCUUGGUUUUGAGCCUAAAUUUGUAACAAGGAGUAAGCAACAUCUGCUUAGAAGAAGGAGGUUAAGAUUUGAAUUCAUGAGCCUCUGCAAAGACUGUCACUGAAAAGGCUGCCAUUAGUCCUCUCUUUACAACAUGCAAUGUGGGGAAAAGCACUGCUCCAGACAUAAGGAUUACAUUCCAUUCUUGUUACAUUCCUUACUCAUUUUUUCUGAGGAGAAACCUCCCUAAUCCAGAUGACCUUUGAGUCUUCAACCUUGGGAAUCCUUUCCAAGCUGUAACACAAUGCAAUACACCACAACAUAGAUACAGUAGUAGCUAGGCUACAUGGGAUGGAGCUGGCAAGUAAAGUUUGUUACAACAACCUGGGUAUCAUAGAAUCAUUAAGGUUGAAAAAGACCUCUAAGGUCAUCAGUCCAACUGUCAACCCACCACCAUCAUGCCCGGUAACUGUGUACCUCAGUGCCACAACUACACAGUUAUUGAAUGUCUCCAGGGAUGGUGACUCCAUCGCCCCCUGGAGGGUGUCAGCCUCCUGAAGUCUGUUCUAGUGCAUCACUGCUCCUUCUGAGAAGAAAUUUUUCUCACUAUACAGUCAUUCACAGUGAAUAAUACUGCAGUAGAAUGUGCCUGCCCGAUGCUUCCUAGUACCUGUUUUACAAGCCCUACAUCUCUCAGCUGCUGCCUUUGUGUACAGUGAUGUUACUGAAUGCUGACAAUCAACUGUGUCUAAUUAUCUCCUUUUGCUUUGAAGUAAGGUCCUUGUUAGCUCUGACUGACAUUCUUAAUUGUAACUCUCUGAAGCUCUGUUUUAAAAAUGUUUGCACACAACAGUCACUUUAUUUAAGUGACUUAUGUUUACCAUGUUUAAGUACUAAUCUGUGUAUCUGGAUUAUGGUGUUUGUUUUCUUCCUUAAACCCUGUGCCAUGGUUGCCCCUGACAUUGAACUGACCUAUGAAAUUAUGUUGGUUGCUGCGGGGUUUAUUGAUGCACGUCUGUUAGCCAGGAAGUUUAUUACCUCGUGUACUUUCCGCAGGGAACUACUCUCUAAACAGGCGAGGGUCUCUGAGCUUCUUGUUUUUCUACAUGUUAAUUAACACGUUCACUUGGAAACAGUGUACAUGGACACCGUAUAAUAAUUAUGAUGAUGGUUUUUGUUUGUUAAGUGUACAAUCUUGUAUUUUUAUUUUGAAGACACUUGAAAUUGUAUAUCCAUCCUAUAUAUCAUCAUCAGUUAUAUCAGAUAUCAUCCAUUAUAUGAUCAGGUCAUCAGAUAUAAAUUUAAAAUGAAGUGCCUUUUUUUCUGCUCUUGGUACACUUGUAAUGUAUUAAUUUUGUGUUAAAAAUUGUACGUCAUUGAUUAGUACGAGGGAUGGCCGAACUAAUUUCUGUGAUUGUGUGGUAUCUGUAUUAGAAUUAAAGGUACUUCUUGGUAAGAGGAAGAACCUCAAGGGAGAUCAGAAACUGUCAUGUAUAACAAACAAUAUAUAAUGUCUGAAUGUAUUUUUGUUUAAACUUUUGUCAGUGAAUACGGUGAAGGAUUGUUUAAAAUUGAAACAAAACAUUGCUAAAUAAAUAUACUAGGAAGUAUUUUUAUUCAGAAUAUCUUAGAAACCUAUAACUUAUACGUCCUUUCCUUACCAAAUGUUUUUAGACUAGGCUGAGUAGUUAUCCAUGUCUCUUUGAUUUUUUGUGUUAGAUGCAAAAUAUGUUGCUAAUCUACCCAAUUUUCUAUUCAGGAAGCAAAAAAGUAUUGCUUAUAUCAGGUCAAAUGAGAUGUUUGGCAGCAAUUUUUCUGCUUGCCUUGUUUCAUCAUGGAGACAUAGUUGCAAUGAGUAAUAUUUGAAAAUACGGUGGAAGAGGUAGAAGAAUUUAGUUAAAUACAGCCUGUGGGAAAUGCUGAAAAUCUCUAAUAAAAAGCACAGCUUCCC